rnacentral:rRNA from 1 species
AGAGCGAACGCUGGCGGCAGGCUUAACACAUGCAAGUCGAGCGGGCGUAGCAAUACGUCAGCGGCAGACGGGUGAGUAACGCGUGGGAACAUACCUUUUGGUUCGGAACAACCCAGGGAAACUUGGGCUAAUACCGGAUAAGCCCUUACGGGGAAAGAUUUAUCGCCAAAAGAUUGGCCCGCGUCUGAUUAGCUAGUUGGUGAGGUAACGGCUCACCAAGGCGACGAUCAGUAGCUGGUCUGAGAGGAUGAUCAGCCACAUUGGGACUGAGACACGGCCCAAACUCCUACGGGAGGCAGCAGUGGGAAUAUUGGACAAUGGGCGCAAGCCUGAUCCAGCCAUGCCGCGUGAGUGAUGAAGGCCCUAGGGUUGUAAAGCUCUUUUUGUGCGGGAAGAUAAUGACGGUACCGCAAGAAUAAGCCCCGGCUAACUUCGCGCCAGCAGCCGC